GGGGGGGGGGGGGGGGGGGGGGAGGAGGGGGAGGGGGGGGGGGCAGAGGAGGAGCUUGCUCCUGUGACGUUAGCGGCGGACGGGGGAGUAACACGUGGGUAACCUACGUAUAAGACUGGGAUAACUGCGGGAAACGGGGGCUAAUACCGGAUAAUAUAUUGAACCGCGUGGUUCAAUAGUGGAAGACGGUUUUGCUGUCACUUAUAGAUGGAUCCGCGCCGCAUUAGCUAGUUGGUAAGGUAACGGCUUACCAAGGCGACGAUGCGUAGCCGACCUGAGAGGGUGAUCGGCCACACUGGAACUGAGACACGUUCCAGACUCCUACGGGAGGCAGCAGUAGGGAAUCUUCCGCAAUGGGCGAAAGCCUGACGGAGCAACGCCGCGUGAGUGAUGAAGGUCUUCGGAUCGUAAAACUCUGUUAUUAGGGAAGAACAAAUGUGUAAGUAACUAUGCACGUCUUGACGGUACCUAAUCAGAAAGCCACGGCUAACUACGUG
rnacentral:rRNA from 1 species